rnacentral:ncRNA from 19 species
UUCAAUAUACUGGAAACAGGUGCCAAUCUGAUUUAUACAUAAAUCAUGGAUUGGUUAAAAGGGAAGUGGGUGUAAAUCCCACGCGGUCCCGCCGCUGUAAAAGAGGAGUCCUUGCAUGAUGCCACUGGGAAACCGGGAAGGUUGUAAGGAUGAUGAUACUUGAGCCAGAAUACCUGCCUGUUUUGUCACACCAUUA